rnacentral:rRNA from 1 species
CCUACGGGUGGCAGCAGUGAGGAAUAUUGGUCAAUGGGCGCGAGCCUGAACCAGCCAAGUAGCGUGAAGGAUGAAUGCCCUACGGGUUGCAAACCUCUUUUAUAAAGGAAUAAAGUGAGGCACGUGUGCCUUUUUGUAUGUACUUUAUGAAUAAGGAUCGGCUAACUCCGUGCCAGCAGCCGCGGUAAUACGGAGGAUCCGAGCGUUAUCCGGAUUUAUUGGGUUUAAAGGGAGCGUAGAUGGGUUGUUAAGGCAGGUGUGAAAGUUUGCGGCUCAACCGUAAAAGUGCAAUUGAUACUGGCAGUCUUGAGUGCGGUUGAGGUAGGCGGAAUGCGUGGUGUAGCGGUGAAAUGCUUAGAUAUCGCGAAGAACUCCGAUUGCGAAGGCAGCUUACUAAGCUGCCACUGACAUUGAUGCACGAAAGUGUGGGUAUCAAACAGGAUUAGAUACCCCUGUAGUC